UGCUGUGCCUUUGAUGUGUGGGACCCAGUAGUCAGCGUCUAUCAGUGAUGAAUCCUUCCCCCAAUCCCCAAACCACCAUGGCGGCCACCGGCGAGCUGCGCCGCCGCCCAGCACAUAGCAUCCCAGUCACGCCGCGCGUCGUGCAGAGCCAUGGUGGUUGCCGACUUCAAGUGCGGAGAGGGAGGCGCCUGGCUGGGUCGACCGGGAGCACCUCAAGGGCUGGCCGAGGGCAUGCUGGAUGCAGUGCGACGCCGCGGUGCGUGCUCCCCGAGUUCGUCAAAAUCGAUUCCUCGAGCAAAGUUUGACCAUGGAAAUUAUUCGGGGCACUUCAGUGAAGGAGAAGAGGUGUUGCAACUUAUCGGCAAGGAAACGAUAUGCUCCCCUUUUAUCAGUGGUGGAGAAGCAAUGUGCAGCUCAUUGUCAGUGAUGAUGACAGCCACAACUCCAUGGACUACAGUAAUCAUUCACGGCACAUCUUGUGCAUUCUUCAGAAUUCACGCUUCGCGUGAUGUUAAUCUCCACAGUAGUAUGAUGCGGCAGGGUUACAAGAUGCUCUGAAAUGGACCGAAACCGCUUCAUCGUUGUGGCCUCGGUACAUGGCCUCUUAGAGGCAGAGCAUCCUGAGCUGCACCAUCAUCCUGGAGUUGGUUAUGUAUCAAGCUCCACCUCCUCUGAUUGUGCAUGGCUGAGGGAGUGGACUGGUACUUCGUCAGGAAGGAGAUUAACUGGCUCACAAAUUCACUUGCAACAUCAACCUUCAUAGCCAGGAUUAAUAAAGUAAGCUGCUGGUUGGUGGGGUGCUAAACACGGAUACUUUGUUUAAUUAAAGGCCCAAAGACGUGACCAGGACCAGUCAAUUUUUCAACCAGCUUGAAAAAGAAUUGGGCGACCAGUAUUUGUAGUGUUCAUGAUGAACUUCAGUGGAGAGAAGCAGCGCGCAGCUCAUUGACAAGGAAAUGAUAUGCGCCCUUUUUAUCCUGAUGAGCUUGACUGGAGAAGCCGGCUGCCACUAGUUUCUGGCAAAGAAACUGGUUGGAGAUGAUACGCGUUGCAGCGAACGAUGACGAGAACCGUGACUUCAUGCCUGACUCCUUUGGUUUCUUCAGAGCCCGGUCAGUCAAUCAGUACCUGUGUGUGGCUUAUUUUUGUGCUGGUUUAGUUUAGUUGACCUGGUUUUGUUUCCUGUGCAAAACUGGAAGUUUUCUAUGGAAUAUCCUAUUUGGUGCAAUUCUUCCGUCCGGUUUUGUGAAGUUUCUAGAAUGUUAGAGGCGUAUCUUUUGUUCGGUUUUUCUUCUGUUUUUUUCCUGUUCGUUUUUCUUUUCUUUUAAAAAUUCAUGAGCAUUUUUAAAAAAUCGCAGACUUUUUUAAAAAUUCUGAACAAUUUUUAAAUUUGUUAACUUUUAAAAAGUUUGGGAACGUUUUUUCAAAUUCAUGAGCAUUUUUUAAUUUCAUGAAGUUUUUUAUUCCUUCUCAGUUUCUUUGCGUCUUGAAAAAGAAGGACAAUUUUUGUUUGGCUUCCAAGUGGGCUGGGGAAAUUGAGAUUCUAGAUUGGAUUUUGGCUGAAAAAGUACCACCUGCCAGCCAAUCAGAACGAAGCUGCCUGUUCUUUGUACAUACAGUGACAAACAAGAGCUAGUGCCAUAUCCCGUCGCAGUGGGUGUACACGUACUUCCUCCAUUCAACUCAACGAUGUAACUAGGUAUGGUGGCCUCACUGUAGAUGUGUGAAUGGCGAUUUUUGAGUUAAUGGCAUCGAUCGGUUUGUGGUGCCUAAUAUUGAAAAGGAUAAAUGAAGAUAUGUGAAGAACUAGAGGGUGACGCGCGCUUUGUUGCUACGUCCUUCAAUAUGAGUUAAGCCUCUCUCCCUUUUACUUCUUAUCCGGUGGAGGCGAGCAUGAGGGUUUGUGUUUCUUUUUACACAUAAUUAAUACGGAAAUCAACAUAUGGGGCACCCUGUUCAUCUGGGCGUGGACCCAAUCACAACACACAUCACCGAUUCACCGACGACCAGGAGCCAACAUUCCUAGGAGUUUAGAAUCUUAUUCUUAGUAUACUUUGUUAAUAUUGCAUUUCUCUUGACCCCUUCAUUUGGGUUCUUUUUGCAACGUCUACCGUCACGGACAGAUAAUUUUCUUAACGUCCAAACAGUUGACAAGGACAAGCCAACUUGUCCGAACCACACUAAUUACUGUUACAUGAGAAAUUGUAUAUAUGUAAUUACCUUUGUGCAUGUCUUUCGUUCCAUCUUUUUAUUCAAUUGUGUGUGCCCUACUCUAUCAAUUUCUGACCACAGAAAUUUCUCGAGAUUUUUCCAGACGAGCUUGACUGGAGAAGCUAGGCGCCACUCGUUUCUGGCAAAGAAACUGGUUGGAGACGAUACGCGUCGUGGCGAAGGAUGACUAGAACCGCAACUCCAUGCUUGACCCCUUUGGUUUCUUCAGAACCCGAAAGAAACUGGUGGGAGACGGUACGCGUCGUGGCCCGUGGUGAUGAGGACCAUGACUCCAUGCCUGACUUAUUUGGAUUCCUCAGAGACCGACGAACUUCAGUGGAGAAGCAGUGCGCAAAUUUGAUCGUCGUCGAGGAAAUGAUACGCGCCCUUGUUUAUCUUGAUCAGUGGUGGUGAGAAUCGCAGCUCCAUGCUCCAGCAAUCUAUCUUUUCAAGGGUACAUGUAGGCAUGUUUGUUUGUACAUUUGCUCCUUUGGUAACUUGAUAACCCGAUCAGUCUCUGUCCAACAUAUAUUUUGUGCCAGUUCAGUUUUAGAUCUUAGACUUUUGCAAACACGUGAACAGAACACGCCACUAACCCGUGGCCUCGGGUGGUUGUUGAUCACGCGUUUUAUUACCGUGGAUAUUUUGUGGACCGUGCGACGUGCUGAAGGAUUUACAUUUCAUAACCUUAUAUAGCAUGAGUACACUAUAUCCUAGAGUGGACAUUGUGAUGAUUCCAUAUUCGGCUCAAACUAUUCGACGCGCAUUAGUCCAGAAGGUUAGUGGCUCUAGCUACUGUACAUAUGCAGGAAGAGAAAUCUUGCAAGCUAGUAGUACAUGGGAAUCAGAGGUGUCAUAAUCAUACUACUGUCGAAAUGGGGGAUAUCUAUUGCCUUAUGCAGAAGCAAUAGCAUAGAUACCAUGAUUCUCUUGACUUCUGUUAAUCAAAUUGUCCAACUGUUAUGGCUCAGCUUUCAUUAUAAACUGAUCAGUUAUGUUCAUAGACUAAUACUAAUAAUCAAACUAGUUAAUAAAUCAGUCUGCAGUCCGGCUUGGAUUAUUUUUAAUAAUCACACGAGUAAGGGGUAACUGAAAUCAGAUACAUUAUUCACAACUCACGCCUUCUGCUUCGCAAUUU